rnacentral:rRNA from 1 species
UACGGAGGGGGCUAGCGUUUUUCGGAAUUACUGGGCGUAAAGGGCGUGUAGGCGGAUCGGUCAGUCAGGCGUGAAAGCCCCGGGCUCAACCUGGGAAUAGCGCUUGAUACUACCGAUCUUGAGUCCGGGAGAGGGUAGUGGAAUUCCCAGUGUAGAGGUGAAAUUCGUAGAUAUUGGGAAGAACACCAGUGGCGAAGGCGGCUACCUGGACCGGUACUGACGCUGAGGCGCGAAAGCGUGGGGAGCAAACAGG